UCACUUCAGCAGUCUAUAUAUUAGAAUUGGAACAAUUCAGAGAAGAGUAGCAUGGCUGCUAAGCAUAGAUGGUACACAAUUAAGUGAAGCAUUCCAUAUUUUU